rnacentral:tRNA from 1 species
GCGCUCGUGGUGGAAAUGGCAGACACGCCGGACUUAAAAUUCGGGGCCGCGAGGCAUUGGGGGUUCGAUGCCCUCCGAGCGCACCA